rnacentral:rRNA from 1 species
GACGUAGGGCGCGAGCGUUGUCCGGAUUUAUUGGGCGUAAAGAGCUCGUAGGCGGCUUGUCGCGUCGACUGUGAAAACCCGCGGCUCAACCGUGUGGUCUGCAGUCGAUACGGGCAGGCUAGAGUUCGGUAGGGGAGACUGGAAUUCCUGGUGUAGCGGUGAAAUGCGCAGAUAUCAGGAGGAACACCGGUGGCGAAGGCGGCAUCCUGGACCAAUAUUGACGCUGAGGAGCGAAAGCCAGGGGAGCAAACGGG